rnacentral:rRNA from 1 species
UGAGGAAUAAGCUUUGUAGGAAAUGACAAAGUGAUGACGUUAGUUUAUGAAUAAGCCCCGGCUAAUUACGUGCCAGCAGCCGCGGUAAUACGUAAGGGGCGAGCGUUGUUCGGGAUCAUUGGGCGUAAAGGGUGAGUAAGCGGAUAUGUAAGUCUAUGUGUAAAAUACCAUAGCUCAACUGUGGAACUAUGCUAGAAACUGCAUGACUAGAGUCUGAUAGGGGAAGUUAGAAUUCCUGGUGUAAGGGUGGAAUCUGUUGAUAUCAGGAAGAAUACCAGAGGCGAAGGCGAACUUCUAGGUCAAGACUGACGCUGAGUCACGAAAGCA